UGUGCAUGUCUCACGGUUGGUGGCCGGCUAAGAUUUUUUGGUUGGCUAAAUUUCAUUUUAUGAUGGGUAAAGGGUGGGGAAAUGGACGGAAAGUAAGAAAGAAAGACUUCAACUUUUAUUUUUCUAUCUUGCUUCCUUGUCUCUUUCAAAUGAAGCUGGAGAGGAGAGGCCGGCUGCAUGUAGUGAAAAACCAUGAAAUUUGUUUGCUAUUAAGUUGAAAUUUUCAAAUAGAAGGCUAACAAGGUGGGAGAAGACUGUAGCGGAAAAGGGGAGUAGCAAAUUAAAUAGGUUGAAUCGGUGUUGGGAACCUUGGUGAGUUUUCCUUGAACUUUUAUUUUCUUGUGUUUGAUAAUUGUUGAAACUGUUAAAUUGCUGUACGAAUUUUACCUUGUUGGUAUUGUUAAUUGCUGCCCUGUUUAUGCUGUCUGAUUGUGGUAUUGAUGCUGUUCGAAUAUUGCGUUGUUAAUGAUGUCUAAAUAUUGUAUUAUUGAUGCUGUCCGAAUCAGCCUCCGAAUGUGAUAUGUUACAGCAAUUAAGCCAAGUGUUGCAAGUCCUCUUAGGGUGCCCACAACGCAACCUUUCACUACUAAUGUUACCAUGAAUUAACCUUCAAUUGAUGGUGUGGUGUAUGAUUUAUAUUAGGCCAACCCCUUUUUUGGUUGCAUUUUUGAGUAAUUACAUAAUAGUUGGUGAGUGUGAUUGAAUGAAGGAUGUAUCUUCUUGUGAUGGUAAA